GACGAACGCUGGCGGCGUGCUUAACACAUGCAAGUCGAACGGUAAGGCUCCAGCUUGCUGGGGUACACGAGUGGCGAACGGGUGAGUAACACGUGGGUGACCUGCCCUGCACUUCGGGAUAAGCCUGGGAAACUGGGUCUAAUACCGGAUAGGACCGCACCGUGAGGGUGUGGUGGAAAGUUUUUUCGGUGUGGGAUGGGCCCGCGGCCUAUCAGCUUGUUGGUGGGGUAAUGGCCUACCAAGGCGGCGACGGGUAGCCGGCCUGAGAGGGUGGACGGCCACAUUGGGACUGAGACACGGCCCAGACUCCUACGGGAGGCAGCAGUGGGGAAUAUUGCACAAUGGGCGGAAGCCUGAUGCAGCGACGCCGCGUGGGGGAUGACGGCCUUCGGGUUGUAAACUCCUUUCACCAUCGACGAAGGGUUUCUGACGGUAGAUGGAGAAGAAGCACCGGCUAACUACGUGCCAGCAGCCGCGGUAAUACGUAGGGUGCGAGCGUUGUCCGGAAUUACUGGGCGUAAAGAGCUCGUAGGUGGUUUGUCGCGUCGUCUGUGAAAUUCCGGGGCUUAACUCCGGGCGUGCAGGCGAUACGGGCAUAACUUGAGUACUGUAGGGGAGACUGGAAUUCCUGGUGUAGCGGUGAAAUGCGCAGAUAUCAGGAGGAACACCGGUGGCGAAGGCGGGUCUCUGGGCAGUAACUGACGCUGAGGAGCGAAAGCAUGGGGAGCGAACAGGAUUAGAUACCCUGGUAGUCCAUGCCGUAAACGGUGGGCGCUAGGUGUGGGUUUCCUUCCACGGGAUCCGUGCCGUAGCUAACGCAUUAAGCGCCCCGCCUGGGGAGUACGGCCGCAAGGCUAAAACUCAAAGGAAUUGACGGGGGCCCGCACAAGCGGCGGAGCAUGUGGAUUAAUUCGAUGCAACGCGAAGAACCUUACCUGGGCUUGACAUAUACAGGAUCGCGCCAGAGAUGGUGUUUCCCUUGUGGCUUGUAUACAGGUGGUGCAUGGUUGUCGUCAGCUCGUGUCGUGAGAUGUUGGGUUAAGUCCCGCAACGAGCGCAACCCUUGUCUUAUGUUGCCAGCACGUUGUGGUGGGGACUCGUAAGAAACUGCCGGGGUUAACUCGGAGGAAGGUGGGGAUGACGUCAAAUCAUCAUGCCCCUUAUGUCCAGGGCUUCACACAUGCUACAAUGGUCGGUACAGUGGGUUGCCAGUCCGUGAGGGCGAGCUAAUCCCGCAAAGCCGGUCUCAGUUCGGAUCGGGGUCUGCAACUCGACCCCGUGAAGUCGGAGUCGCUAGUAAUCGCAGAUCAGCAACGCUGCGGUGAAUACGUUCUCGGGCCU
rnacentral:rRNA from 1 species